CCCUUAGAGUUUGAUCCUGGCUCAGAUUGAACGCUGGCGGCAUGCCUUACACAUGCAAGUCGAGCGGCAGCGCGGGGGCAACCCUGGCGGCGAGCGGCGAACGGGUGAGUAAUACAUCGGAACGUGCCCAGUAGUGGGGGAUAACCUCUCGAAAGAGAGGCUAAUACCGCAUACGACCUACGGGUGAAAGCGGGGGACCGCAAGGCCUCGCGCUAUUGGAGCGGCCGAUGUCGGAUUAGCUAGUUGGCGGGGUAAAGGCCCACCAAGGCGACGAUCCGUAGCUGGUCUGAGAGGACGACCAGCCACACUGGAACUGAGACACGGUCCAGACUCCUACGGGAGGCAGCAGUGGGGAAUUUUGGACAAUGGGCGCAAGCCUGAUCCAGCCAUGCCGCGUGAGUGAAGAAGGCCUUCGGGUUGUAAAGCUCUUUCGGCGGGGACGAAACGGUCCGUGCCAACACCACGGACUAAUGACGGUACCCGCAGAAGAAGCACCGGCUAACUACGUGCCAGCAGCCGCGGUAAUACGUAGGGUGCAGGCGUUAAUCGGAAUUACUGGGGGUAAAGCGUGCGUAGGCGGUUUGUUAAGACAGGUGUGAAAUCCCCGGGCUUAACCUGGGAACUGCGCUUGUUACUGGCAGACUUGAGUGUGGCAGA
rnacentral:rRNA from 1 species